rnacentral:rRNA from 1 species
CCACCAAGAGUCCACAUCGACGGGGAGGUUUGGCACCGCGAUGUCGGCUCGUCGCAUCCUGGGGCGGUAGGCGGUCCAGAGGGUUGGGCUGUUCGCCCAUUAAAGCGGCACGCGAGAGGGGCUCAGAACGUCGUGAGACAGUGCGGUCCCUAUCCGGCGCGGGAGUGGGAAAUUUGAGAGGAGCUGUCCUUAGUACGAGAGGACCGGGAUGGACUUACCGCUGGUGUACCAGUUGUUCUGCCAAGGGCAUUGCUGGGUAGCUAUGUAGGGAAGGGAUAAACGCUGAAAGCAUCUAAGUGUGAAGCCCACCUCAAGAUGAGAUUUCCCAUUUCUUUAAGAAAGUAAGAUCCCUGAGAGAUGAUCAGGUAGAUAGGUCAGGAGUGGAAGUACAGUGAUGUAUGGAGCGGACUGAUACUAAUCGAUCGAGGACUUAACCAAU